UACGUAGGGUGCGAGCGUUAAUCGGAAUUACUGGGCGUAAAGCGCGUGUAGGCGGCUUUGCAAGUCGGGUGUGAAAUCCCCAGGCUCAACCUGGGAACUGCAUUCGAGACUGCAUGGCUAGAGUAUGGGAGAGGGAAGUGGAAUUUCAGGUGUAGCGGUGAAAUGCGUAGAUAUCUGAAGGAACAUCAGUGGCGAAAGCGACUUCCUGGACCAAUACUGACGCUCAAGUGCGAAAGCGUGGGGAGCAAACAGG
rnacentral:rRNA from 1 species